UUUUUUUUUUUUUGAGAGAGAGAAUAUAAAAGAGAGUAGAUUUUUUAAGAUUUGGCUAUAUAAUGCCAAUUGUUUGGGCUAUCUUUGUCAAACCUAAUAUAAGGCUAAAAAAUUGUCAAUUCCUGUCAUGUGUUGUUAUAGGAUAUCAAUUUUUCUUUAUAUAGCAGCCAUUUCUACAAGGAAACCCAACCACACAGCCCGCGGCCCACUCUAUAGUUUCAUCUAUCUUUCAUCACCAAGCCCAAAACUUAAUCCUAACCCAAUAUCCUCUACAUACUAGGGGCAAGUACACAUAUAGUCAUUCUGAGUGAUGCUAUUUAAAGAUUAGCCAGUAUUUAUUUUAUCUUGAAUUUUAAACAAAAAAUUUUAACUUCAGGACAAUUCAUGAUAUUUUUAUCCUGAAAAAUUGAACUGAAAAACUAAAAUUCAGAACGCAUUGGCUAAUUUCUAAAUAAUGACCCUUUAAAGUGGCUACUAGAGUCAUUUCUACUGCACACUACCCUAGUAGCCCAAAUCUAAUCCUACUUCGUCAUUCUUUUGUGGAAUUAUGGCCCAAAAGACAAAUUUUCCAAUCUCCUUCAACACUUAAAAUAAAUGAAUGAGAUAAAAAGAAAAAUUGCCUGGAUCUUCUAUUAUUUUAUGUUCUUUCCGAAAAUAUGCUGAGGAGAAUAUCUUCUACUCGCUGGAAUAAAGCCUUUUCUAUUCUCUUUAUUAUUAUUAUUAUUAUUAUUAUUAUUAUUAUUAUUAUAGUACCGAUAAUAAGUAAAAUCAAGAUAGUAUAUUUAGACAAAUAAGUCCAAGGCAGCACACGAGAAUAUGACGAAGUCCUGCUAGCAAAUUACGGAAUUACCGAAGGCCGAAUAAUUUUACUUUGGAAAAAAAUAAUUUUAACCAAAAAAGAAACUUAACCGAAUGGAUUAGAAUAUCUUACAAACGUGAUUUUUAGGUAAAAUUUAGUUGUCCACUGAAGAAAUAAAGGCCUUUAGGCUAUUAAAGGUAUUGCAUUUUUUGUACUUCAUAAAAAUGUUCAUGUGGCUCUAAAAUCAUCUACUAUUACUACAAAAUAUCUCCGAACAAACUUGGUUGAAAUGGACCCCGGAAUAUUAAUACACGUACACAAAAUAUUUCGUAUUUAUGCAGGAUGCGCAGAAAGGUCGUACUUCAAGAAAUAUAAUAUAGACAAUCAAUUCUAUGCAAGUGUUAGUGGCUGCUUCCACUGUUAGAAUCCGUGACCUAUAGGCAGCACGGAGACAAAGAUACAUUUUAUAGAAAAACCCGGUGCACAAAGCAUUUCGUGUUCAUGCAAGAUCUGGAAAAAGGCCGCCUCCAAGGGGUGUGAUAUAGACAUCAUAUCCUAAUGCAUGCAUUAAUACGGAUGCUUCUAUGGCUCGAACAAAAGAUUUAUAGGUGACACGGAGACAAGGACCCAUUUAAAUGGGUAAUCCGGUGCACUAAACAUCAUGCAUUCAUAUAGAGUCUGGGGAAAGACCGUACCUCAAGAUGUGAUAUAAAUAGUCUACCUUAGUACAAGCAUUAAUGACUGUUUUCAUGACUCAAACUCAUAACCUAUAAAUCACACCGAAACAAUGACCCUUUAUCAGAACGAAUUGGAUCGAACAUAAAUAACAAAAGAAAGUGAUUUCAUUUUAUGAAAAGGAAAUUAAAUUGACCAAAUUUGUAAUGUCAAGGAGCUUUAAUAUUUAUUAUUUAUUUUUAUUGGAGAGUGAGGGUACUAAAACACUAGGUUCACUAUUCAUUCUUGCAUGUGAGGAACAUGUAUAACUUUUUCAAUGUCAUACAUUUUCUUUAAUAAUGUUUGUAGAUUAAUUAAACAUUAAACCUCAUUAAUGUUAGCUACAACGACCAAUGCUACAUCUUAAAUGUGAAAAUUAUAAUCUCCCACGACCCAAAUUAAACAAUUUCAAUCUAAGCAGUCUCACUGAAAAACUCAUUAAUGUUAGCUACAAAGACCAAUGCUACAUCUCAAAUCUGAAAAUUAUAUAUUUUUUGCAAUCCAAAACAUACGUUGACCACAAUAUUUUUUCCACUUAUGUGAAUUAAUAAUAGCACAAUCCAAACAAAGGAAUAUUCGUCCACAUUUUUUUAAUACACCACUUUAGAAGUUUCCCACCUUGCUUCCUUAGUGAUUCGAACGUGAUUGAAGAUAGAGGAUAGUAUUUUAAAAGGCGAGGGUGUAAGGCCGGGCGUUUUAUUUUAUAUGAAGCGAGGUAUAAACCUCGAGACAUGAGGUGUAAGCCCUAUGAAUCUUUAAAUUUUUUUAUUUAUAAAUUAAUAAAAUAACAAAAUAAUUUCACAAAAUAUAUAAAAUACAUUAAAAGUUUAAGAAAAUUGUAAGGAAUUAAAAAACUCAUAAAAAUAAAAUAUUUAGAAUUUUUUAUAAACAUAAAUAAUGAAACAUUAUUAAAGUUACUAUGAGAUAAAAAUCAACUAAAACGUCUUAUCUUUCAAACAAUUAAAAAAUAUAAUAUUUUUAAAAAUAUUAUCAAACUAUUAAAUUCAUCAAAAAUGUAAUUUAAAAUAUUACUCCUUAUGAGUAAAUAUAAGAUUAUUUUCAAAUAACAAAAUAAUAAAAGUUUAAUAAUUUUGAGAGACAUAGAAUUAAGAUAUGAAGACCUAUAGCAUGUGAACAUAUAAAUUUUGAAUCUUCAAAUGAUACUCACCGAUACAAUAUUCACAGUUAAUUAAUAUAUAAUACUAUGAUUCAUUAUUUUGAGUUACUUUCAUCUUCAUAUUUUUAUAGAUGAAUAAAACUUUAAUCAUUCAUUUAUUAAAAUUUUUUGAAGGUCAGCAGGGCUAAUUAGGCAAUUAGAUGCAUAAUUUGUAUUAAGAACUACUAGGUGAGCCCCGAAUUUUGAGCGCUAGGCAUAUUUCGGGCGCGUAAUCGGGCACUUGGGGAGUAAGCCUCACAGAACUAAUUGUCUGUCUUAUGAAAAAUUCGAUUUAACCUUUCAUUUGCAAUCUUCGAUUUGACCUUUUAAAACACCAAUGGAAGGUACUUACCACUCGAGUAAUCUUCUCUUGUCUUGUGAAAAAUUCGAUUUGACCUAGGAAAUUGUCACAAUCCAAAUCCAUGAGAUGUAUAUUGCCCCCUUUAGCUUAAUAGGCCUUACAGAUUUGUCCUUUGGGCUAAGCCAUCGAGCCUGUGCAUUCAUGUAAAUUUGCAUUGUCUUACUAAGCUCUUCACUUUUUUCUUCCGAUAUUGGAUUGAGGUAACAUGUACACCAUUUUUCAAAAGUUUACCGACCUAAAAAUCUGUCAAUUCUGCUUGGCCCCUUAUCGACCCGCCCUUCGUCAUGGACGUCACAAAAUUAUUCAAUUAGAUUCCAUGAAUUAUUUAUGUCCAAUGGAAAAAGAUUCCUUGAAUCACUUUCUCCACUCUGACAAGUAAUUUGGACAAAAUCAUUUUCACAUGUCAUGAAAUUUGUUGCUUAAAUAUUGCCAAAAAAUGUCCCAAUCAUUUAAUGCUUCACGUUAUUGAUAAGCAAUCAAAUAUGAGUCCGACAAAUAUUAUUGCUCUAAGAUAUCUAGGUAGUUUCUCCGUUUUGGAGAAAGAUUUCAUUUCUUUUUCCCAAAACUAAUAGUGCUAUUUAGUCUUACGAGGAUAAACGAGUUUUACAAGAAAAUACACGUGACUUCACACCAUAAAAAAAAUAGUCCAUAUAUUUAAGUUUUACCUGACCUAUCCCAUAUUGUAUAUAUUUCGAAAGCACUAGCAAAUUUACAAUCUGUGUUUUUACAAUCAUUGUUUCUAAAAGUUAUGGAGUUAAAUCUGCAUUCUCAAAACCAGUGCUUUCACUCUUUCUUCUUCUCACAUCUUCUACAUAUGCUUCAAGGGUCGUCUGCCAUUACUGCUUCUCUCCCUGUGUCACCGGAUUGCAAUGUAAGAAAAUUGAAAAGUAAGAGUCCACCAUUGAAGGCCAUUCAAAGCUUUGCUUUCGAAAAUAGGAUUUUUUGAGUUUGUUAGUUGUUUGGAUUGGAUGUUGUUCCAAUUGAUUGAAAAUAUCAAAAGGAGUUCAAAAUUUAAAUUUGAAGUGAUUUGAAGUAGAUUUGAGUUAAAUUUCAGAGAAGACGCAAGGAAGAAGACGAAGUCAGUUUUUUGUAUAAUUAUGUAUAAUCUUGUAUAAUAGUGUAUAUGAGUGUAUAAGCACAUCUUAUACACUAUUAUACAAAGCGUCUGUAGACGAACUUCUUUCACGAUUUUCAGCUGCAAUUCUUUUCAAAACCAAUCCAAAUCUCCAUUAAAUGACUUCAAAUUUUAUAUACAACCUCCUUAUUUCUAAAAGCCUAAAUAACACCCAUUUCAAAUUUUUCACAAAAUCAAAUUCGAAAUUUAAAUCAACAUAUUUAAGCUUGUUAAAAAUCUAUUUUUCACCACCCAAAUGGAUUUGAUUAGUUGAAGUAAUAAUUGAGUCACGGUUACUGAUUCAAAAAUUAACUUAAAAGCUUGAGCAAUCUUUUUUAAAAAUUAAAUAGUAAUUUUGAGAACUUAUUGGAGUUGAAUGUUGAAUAUUAGCCUAUUAUUUUUGGACUAGUUGGUUGUAAAUUGAAAUAUGAGCUAUAAAAUUGAAAAGUAGGGAGCCCAGUUGUUCUAAUGUGAAAUAUUCCCUUUUAUUUAUUUAAGAAUUUUUAAUAUCUUGAAACAUAAAAAUUUUAUAAGGGAACGGCCUGAUGCCCGAAGUAUCUCGCACUCAAACAGGGUUCGGAGACGGUCAAUUGGUUUUGUGGCUUUUUACAAACUUGUUUUUAAUUUUAUGACCAUACAUUUUUUUUACACGUGCAAGAUUUACUUUUACAUGUAAGAGACCAGUCUUUUACAUAUAAGAGAUCUAAAAAUAUUAUUUUCUUAAAUUGUAAAUUGUAAAGGAUCAUUAUGCACAAAUAACACGUUCGGCGAAGGACUGCACCCUGAUGGGCUGUGAUGUAAGCAGCCUAUCCUGAUGCAAGCAUCAACGAAUGAUUCCACAGUUUGAAUUUGUAAUCUAUAGGUUAUAUAGAGACAACUCUACUAUUGUUCCAAUACUUCCCUCUAUAAAGGAGCAGUCCAGUGCACGAAGCAUCCCGUGUUCACGCAGGAUUCGGGGAAGGACCGCACCCUAAGAGGAUGUGAUAUAGACAACCUACCCUGAUGCAAGCAUGAUUGAUUUAUUCCACGACUUGAACCCGUGACCUAUAGGUCACAUAGAUAAAUCUACUAUUAUUCCAAGGUUUCCCUUCAAACAUUAAAAUUUUAUGAUUCUUGUAUUUUCUCUUGACAAAGUUGAAAGGAUUGUAGGAUCGGUUAAAGAAGUUGUCAUCAUCUGAUUUUACACUAAAUCAAUCAAUAUGAGAUGUGUUUUUAUAUGAACAUGUCAUAUCACUUUAAUUUUUAAUUAUUAAGAUUAAAUAGUUUAAAUUAUUAAGGUUAGUUGAAGUGGUGUUGAUUUAGUACGAUGGAGCAUCACUAUGGUCAUUGUCAAUGUGCCCAAAGUUUGACCAUGAAAGCGAACUAAAUCAUUGAGAUAGAUAUUUUCCAAUUACCUCAUUUUGCUUUAAUAUUAAUCAUAACAAGGUUUGCUCUAUAACAAUCUUGCUUCAUCAAAUUAAUUUUUUUUUCUUUCGUAUCUACAUGUAGGGGUGUACAUAGGUCGGGUCGGUUUACAUUUUUCAAUUAUCAAACCAAACUAAUUGUGUAGGACUAUUAAAUCUAAAGACCAAACCAAACCAGUAAAAGUCGGGUUUUUAAAUCUCGGAUUUUUCGGUUUUUCGGGUUUUUUUCGAGUUUUUUUUUUCUUCAUAAAGUCUUCAUAGCACAAAACAUAGAAUUUGUACGCCAAAUAUAUCUCUAAUCCUAGUAAGAUAGAACUAUAUAGGAAGAUCUGCGAAUCCCUCCUGCUUAUGUUAAAACUUUCCAAGGUCCGCCUCAUGGGAUCCAAGUUGGAAGAGAUAAAUUGAACAAGUAUGGUCGUCCCCUGUUGGGAUGUACUAUUAAAAGGUGUUUUGCAAUAAAAUAAUAUAAAUAUGAGAUGAGUCAUGACAUUGUACAAAAAUAUUAGAUAAUAAAAUCGCAUAAAAUAAAUAAUUAAUAAGCCAUAAUGAAAAAAAACAUAAUUUAAAAUUACUAAGUUGUUAAAAUAAGUACGACUAAUAAGUACUAUUAUUUACAUGACUAAACACUAACAGAAAAAUAAGUUAUGCAUUUUAUCUAAACCAUAAGAAAACUGAAAAAUAGAUAUCCAAUACCAUUUUCAUUUAUAGUACUAUUGAAUUGAAUGUCUUUUAUUAGUAUUAAUAUUGAUUUGAUUUUGGUUUAGGAUUUAUUUGAGUUACUACCAUUUAUGGACUACAAAACUUAUUGGAGCAUCCAAAAAUUAUAAGUCCAAGCUUGAAAUAAUACGUUAAAAGAUAAAACUAUGAAAAAGUUUAAGAAAAUAUUUAUAAACUACACUACAAUAAAUAUUUUUAUGUAUUAAACAUGUUUAAGACUUCUAUACAUAUAAUGUCAUGUCGGUUUAGUUUUGGUUUGACUUUUUUUAGUUACUAGAUGACGUACUUGUGCGAUGCAUAGGCCCAAUUGUUGCUCUUUUUUCUUAUUUUCUUCCUUUUAAUAUUUCUUGGUCUAUUGCUAAUUACACACUUUAUUCGUCCUUAGGGAAAGAAAAAGAAUAUAGGCAUUUGUGUAAUAAUGUAUAGAACCACAUUUGCCUAUAUUGUUUUUUUAAAUCUUUUGCGUUAUGUGUAUUUUAAUUUUUCUAAAAUCAUAUUACUAUACCAAUCACUUUGUAAUACUUGUUGAAGUCUGAUACUUUAUUAUACAAAGAUUAUAUAAUACUUCAAGUGCAAUAUAGAAUAUUUCUACAUAGGUUCUACAUUUUUAUUUAAAAAAAAUAGAUCUGCACCACCAAACUUAAAAUUUAUUAUAAAAAAAUGAUUGAAAAGUCAAUUGAAAAAUAAGCUGUGAUGUAUUUUCUCGUUGUUUAAAUUGAAUAUAUAUAGUUUUACUAUUUUGUAUUUUCAAUUGUGUUAAUGCAUUAUUUUUCUUUUUAUAUUAAUCAAAAUUUGAAUAAUAAAAUAUAGUCAUUUUAUUUCCAAAAAGUUGACGAAAAAACUUUUUUUUUGUUCCUUCAAAUAAUAAUUGUAAUUUUUAAUGAUUCGGAAUUUUUUACCAUAAAAUUUGUAUUUUAUUCUAGUUUAAUGACAUAUCUGAAUAAUUUAUUAAAAAUAAAUUAAUUUAUCAAUCACUCUAAAUACUAAUCAGAUUGGCCAUAAAUUGAAGCAUUACAAUAUUUUUCUAGUUUCAUUUGUUAUGAUUGAGAUACUCUAUGGUUUAAUACAAGUUUCUUUACCAUAAUUAUUUGUUGGGCUUUUUUAUAAAUAGUUAAUUUAUAUUUAUGUAUUUUGAAAUUUAUAUAAUGUUGUAUUAUUUAUUGAACAUAGAGGAAGUACCCAACUAACUAACUUUAAUCAUAGAGGGAAAAAUAUAAUCCUGCAGAAUGAUACUUCUUAUGUUGCCCGAUAUAUAAUAAAGCAAAAAAAAAAAAAAAAACCAAAUUAGUUGUCUUAAUCUUUUGUUUAGAUUAUUCUCAAAUAAUAUUUUAUAGAGGGAAUCAUUUUUAUACAAUUUGAACAAUAUUUAAUAUUCUAUAAUAAAAAGGAAGUUGAAACUCUAUUUUAUUCUUAAAUACUUUUUUUGCUAAUUUAUAAAAUAUUCCAAUUAAAAUUGUAAUUUAAUGAGAACUUGUUUAAAAUUAUAUCAAUUGAUACUAAUACAAAAUAAAAAUCUGCAUAAUUUAUUACCACUUUUUAAAAAAUAGUCUUUACCUAAAAUAGUCGAUAAAUAAAACAAAUGAAAUAAUAUUUCUUAAGAAGAUAAUAGAAUUGCCGUAUAUAAAUAAAUGUAACCAUUGUAUGUUUUUAAUCAAAUAAAUGUUGAAAUAUAAAAUUACCAAACAGAUAAUUUUUUAGUUAAAAGUACUAAUUGAAAAAAGAAAUUAAGGGUGUCAGGUAGUCUGCUUUCAAACAAAAGAUAGUUAAGUUGAAUAGGAAAUGACCAUGAUGCCCUUGGUCGACCUCCUCUUCUCUCUUCUAUAUAAUAGAAAAAACCAAACCAAACCAAACCAAUUAUGGUCGUGUUUUUUCUUCCAACAUCAAAUUAAAUCAAACCAAUCAUAAUCGACUUUUUUUUUUAUCGGNNNNNNNNNNNNNNNNNNNNNNNNNNNNNNNNNNNNNNNNNNNNNNNNNNNNNNNNNNNNNNNNNNNNNNNNNNNNNNNNNNNNNNNNNNNNNNNNNNNNNNNNNNNNNNNNNNNNNNNNNNNNNNNNNNNNNNNNNNNNNNNNNNNNNNNNNNNNNNNNNNNNNNNNNNNNNNNNNNNNNNNNNNNNNNNNNNNNNNNNNNNNNNNNNNNNNNNNNNNNNNNNNNNNNNNNNNNNNNNNNNNNNNNNNNNNNNNNNNNNNNNNNNNNNNNNNNNNNNNNNNNNNNNNNNNNNNNNNNNNNNNNNNNNNNNNNNNNNNNNNNNNNNNNNNNNNNNNNNNNNNNNNNNNNNNNNNNNNNNNNNNNNNNNNNNNNNNNNNNNNNNNNNNNNNNNNNNNNNNNNNNNNNNNNNNNNNNNNNNNNNNNNNNNNNNNNNNNNNNNNNNNNNNNNNNNNNNNNNNNNNNNNNNNNNNNNNNNNNNNNNNNNNNNNNNNNNNNNNNNNNNNNNNNNNNNNNNNNNNNNNNNNNNNNNNNNNNNNNNNNNNNNNNNNNNNNNNNNNNNNNNNNNNNNNNNNNNNNNNNNNNNNNNNNNNNNNNNNNNNNNNNNNNNNNNNNNNNNNNNNNNNNNNNNNNNNNNNNNNNNNNNNNNNNNNNNNNNNNNNNNNNNNNNNNNNNNNNNNNNNNNNNNNNNNNNNNNNNNNNNNNNNNNNNNNNNNNNNNNNNNNNNNNNNNNNNNNNNNNNNNNNNNNNNNNNNNNNNNNNNNNNNNNNNNNNNNNNNNNNNNNNNNNNNNNNNNNNNNNNNNNNNNNNUCGGUUUGAUUCGGAUUAUCGGAUUAAUAAAUUAAUCGAUCUAUUGGUAGACCUUCGGGAGUUUUUUAGGGUUUAAACAUGUAUUGAUCCAGUCGAAGACAACCUGCUCAAGAACGACUUCUUUUUCUUGAAUCUAAAAAUGAACUGGUAAUAUUACAAUUUUGAAUUUUAAUCCUUACAUACCCUUUAAUUAUGAAAAGGAAAGAAUUACCAAAAUCUUUUACAGUAAAUCGAGAUAUUUUUUUUGUUUUCACGUAGCAGCUUUUAUUGACUAAUAAACAAUUAUAUAGUGUCAAAAAGUCAUAAACAUAGGCAAACAUGAUAAAGUAAGAGAAAGUUCGAACUGAUUAAUAAUAAUAAUAAUAAUAAUAAUAAUAAUAAUAAUAAUAAUAAUAAUAAUAAUAAUAAUAAUAAUAAUAAUAAUAAUAAUAAUAAUAAUAAUAAAAGAAAUAAAAAUGCAUGCAUGUUUCACACCUGCUGCAAACUACCCACUUUCUUUCAUUAACUUGAAGACAACGCAAACUCGUAAAGUAAGGCAUGCUAAUCAUGAAUAUUACUUGGAAUUGACGAUUACUUCUUUUAUUUUCUCUUUUUCGAAAUUAAUAAUGAUAUAUUAAAAUAAUACUAUUAAUAUUAAAGGAAGGAAAAUCUUGGAUUAACUGUAACCCGCCACUAAUAUUUGCAUUGAUAUAUAUUGUCUAUAUUACAUCUCUAGAUUACGAUUUUUUUCUGAAUCUUGCGUGAAUACACAAUAUUUUACGCACCGAGCUACUACCAUAAUGUUAAAGUCCUUUUUUUUAAUUGCCUAGGAGUUUGUCUAUUUACGUCAUUGUAGUUGUUUAAAAUUGUCCUGGUUGUUUUUUGACAUUGUUGGAAAUUAAAAUUUUCCUUCAGACAUGUAUAAGAUUUUUUAUUCUAUUUUCAAAAAAGAGAAAAAUACGGAUUGGAGUUUUGAAGUUUUGUGAUUAUCGUUCAAAUCUUAUAUUUGUAUUAAAACCUUCAAUAAAUAAUAAUAAAAAAUUAAUUACUAACACAUAAUAUCGCUAUUUUAAAAUUUAGAAUUAUAAAGUUUAAAUCCUAGUUCUCCUACGGAAACAAGGAUCAACUCAAGUACAUAAGGCUAUCUAAGUCUACUUAUAUAAGGUAAUUUCUUCCCGUUUGUUCAAGUCUUGAUAGAUAGAGUUAUUUGGUAUCUGUUGUUAGUGGGAAAUAUCAGAUAUUCAGUAGAACAAAUCAAGAUGCGCGCAAGCUAGCCCGGACAACACAAUUAUAAAAAGAAAAUCCAACUACAAAGAUGAGUUGUAGCUUGGAAUUGCUAUCAUUGUUUUCUUUUUGGAACUUUCCUUUACUUUUCGUCCUAUACAGAUAUUUUAAAUAUUUCCUGAGAAUCAAAAUUUGGUAAGUUAGGAUCCCAAUUAUUAAAUUGUAACUUUAUAUUUUUUAAAUAUCACAAAUCGUCUCCUACUAAAGAAAAUAAUUCUGAACUAUUUCUUAAAACGUUAUUUAUUGUUUAAAAACUUUCAAAUUGAGCAGAGUAUAUAUUUUUUAUUAAGUAGGUCUAAGUGGGUAUGAUUACGACGCCAAAAUGAGAUAAUGAGCAUUCCUUUUGUUAGCACAUCAAAUUAGUUGUCAUUCUUAGUGGAAUUUUCCUCAAAGCAAAGCAAGAGAAUUAAGGGUCAUUUGGUUAUCUAAUCCCAAUAUAAAAUUUGGGAUNNNNNNNNNNNNNNNNNNNNNNNNNUUAUUACGCAUUUUUAUGGUACUAAUAUAUCAUCUCCUAUUGCUUUUUUGAGCCAAGGAUUUCCUGGAAACAGCCUCUCUACUUCGGGGUAGGGGUAAGGUCUGCGUACAUAUUACCCUCCCCAGACCCCACUUGUGGAAUUAUACUGGGUCGUUGUUGUUGUUGUUGUGUGUAUAUAUAUAUCUUGUUUGAUUAUUGUAACAUUAUAAUCCCAAAAUUAAAGAUGUCUUUUCUCUCUCUUAUUCAUUCAGUUUUCCAAAUUUAUUAACCAUUAUUAAAGAAAAAAUACUCUUUACUAAAAAAAAUUGUCGUUCUAUAAAGUAUUCCAAAAUAACAUGUACUAGAUUAUGAUGAACAUGCACAUUUCUAUAAAGUAGGAUGUUAUUCGAUGUAUUGGGCCUAGAAAGAAGGGAAAUAUAUAUUAUAAUUAAUGUAUAUUUUUCGUAUAAUUAACUAGCGAAUAUAAUUAUUUUUGGUCGACCGGCCAAAAAUAUGGUAAAAAUAGCACGGUAUAGUUAGUUUUCGGACUGGUCAUUCAAAAAUAGCCAGCGUUUACGAAGUCAAUGAAAAAUAGCCACUAUUUUUCUGCAACAGAGACCGGUCCAGCAUAAUAUAUUGGAGUUCGGUGCACCUGUGUAUGAACUCCAGCAUAUUAUGCUGGAUCAGUAUACUUUGUGUGAUAAUUUAGUGUGAUAGUAUUAUUUUUGUAUUUUCAUAUUCUUAAAUUUUUAUUAUUACCUGCUUGCUUUUGUUUUGAGUUUACUAUUUUCUUGCUAUUAAUAUUGCUUUUUUAACUAUUUCAUUAUUGCAUGAACCGAGGGUUUACUGGAAACAUCCUCUCUAUCUGUAUAAGGUAAGGAUAAGUUUGCAUACUCUUUAUCCUCUUCAAACUUAACUUGUGGAAUUACACUGGAUAUAUUAUUAUUGUUGCGGUAGUUCCCAUCAAAGAAGUCUUCUAUAUAGCUUAAAAUACUUUUUCACAUUGGAUAUACACCGACUCUAUACAUACCUUAUUAUCAAUAAAAUAGAGAAAAUUUCACAUAAGAACCACCGUGCUCCCUACUUUUAAAUUUUAUAACCCAUAUUUCAAUUUACAACCAACUAGCCCAAAAAUAAUAGGCUAAUACUCAAUAUUCAAUUCUGUUCUCGAAAUUACUAUUUAAUUUUUAAAAAUAUUGUUCAAGCUUUUAAGUUAAUUUUUGAAUCAGUGACUGUGACUCAAAUAUUAGUUCAACAAACCAAAUCCAUUUUGGUGGUGAAAAUUAGAUUUUUAACAGGCUUAAAUAUGUUGAUUUAAAUUCCAAAUUUGAUUUUGUGAGAAAUUUGGAGUGAGUGUUAUUUAGGCUUGUUAGAAAUAGUAUAAAGAGGUUGUAUAUAAAAUUUAAAGUCAUUUAAUGGAGAUUUGGACUGGUUUUGAACAAGAAUUGCAACCGAAAAUCGUGGAAGAAGUUCGUCUACAGAUGCUUGUAUAAAGGUGUAUAAAAGUGUAUAAAGGUGUAUAAAAGUGUAUAAGAAGUGUUUAUACACUAUUAUACAAAAUUAUACAAAAUUAUACAAAAGACUGACUUUGUCUUCUUCCUUGCGUCUUUUUUGAAAUUUAACUCAAAUCUACUCCAAAUCACUUCAAAUUUAAAUUUUGAGCUCCUUUUGAUAUUUUCAAUCAAUUGGAACAACACCCAAUCCAAACAACUAACAAACUCAAAUCAUAUUUUCGAAAAUAAAGCUUUGAAUAGCCUUCAAUAGUGGACUUCUACUCUUCGAUUUUCUUACAUUGCAACCAGAUGACAUAAGGGGAGAAGCAGUAAUGGCGGACGACUCCUUGAAGCAUAUGUAGAAGAUGCUGGAAGAAGAGAGAGUGAAAGCAAUGAUUGUGAGAACAUAUAUUUAAUUCCAUAAUUUUUAGAAGCAAUGGUUGUAAGAACACAGAUUUUGAAUUUGCUAGUGCUUUCAAAAUAUGUACAAUAUGGACUAGGUCAGUUAAAACCUAAAAACAUUGGCCAUUUUUUGUUAUGCUAUGGUGUCAUGUGUAUUUUUUUGUAAUUUUUUUAAUAAAAUAUUAAUUGAUAUAUAUAUAUAUAUAUAUAUGUCAAUUUGUUACUUAAACGAGAUAAUUGUACAUGAUUUAACCUAAACAAUAGGUAUAGACUCCAUUAUUUCUUAUGUGGACCAUCUAAAGCUAAGCACCAACCUCAACUAAUGAAGUACAAUAUUUUAUCCUAAUAUAUAAGUGGGGGUCAUCCCUAAGGGUUAGAAUAAUUUAAAAAAAAUAAAUUAAAUAGGACUUUUCAAAUUUUUAUUUUUUGGUUGCUUACAAAGUAUUUUUUUUUCCUUUAAUUUUUUUUGUAUGAGGUAGGCCUAUAUAUAUAAUAGGGGAAAGGUAGAGCACUGAGGAAGAACACAACACUUAAAACACACUACACUCUGCAGCAAAAGUUGUGACCAUUCCCUUCAUAUCUUUAUAAUUUUAUAUAUUUAUUUGUUUUCUUGAAUUGUCCAACUACUUUUUCAAGUUAGUUAGGAGGCUCUCAAGAUUUUAUCAGCACAUUUUUAUAAGGUAAUUUUCUUGUUUUCUUGAUUCUUGAAUUGUGAGUUUUCUUUUAGUGGCUAAUCUGGAAACAAUUUUGCAGGAAUGACCAGAAAAAUGAUAGCCCUUUUUGGUAUAGUGAUAUUAGCAUUAAUUUAUAAGGCAAUUAUGCCACCACCUCCCAAGAUUUGUGGCUCACCUAAUGGACCACCAAUUACAGCACCAAGAGUCAAGCUUUCUGAUGGCAGAUAUUUGGCUUAUAAAGAAAAUGGUGUUCCUAGAGACCAAGCAAAACAUAAAUUUGUUUUCAUCCAUGGAUUUGAUUGUGUUAGACAUGAUGUUGCUCUGCUCACCACUAUUUCUCCUGUAUGUUCUCUUCAGUAUUUUCAUCAUAGUUUUUUUACUACUGUAUUUUUUCAAACCUGUGUUGAAAAUGCUUUUCUUUGAGCUGAGGUUUUAUCGGAAAUAACCUCUCUACCUCACAUAGGAUAGGGGUGAGGUCUACGUGCACCUUGCCCUCCCAGAUCUUACUUGUAGCAGGGGCGGAGCUAGGGUGGCGGAAGGGAUUCAUCUGAUGAAAUCCUCUGCCGAAAAAUUACACUGUAUAUAUAAGACCAAAAUUAUUUAGUUCAAAAUUAUUUUUUAUGCAUAAAAUGUAGAUGUUGAAGGUAGGGAUAAGGUGUACGUACACCCCACCCUCCCCAGACCUCACUUGUGGUCGGGGCUAGGGGCGGAAGGGGUUUAUCCGAACCCCAUUCGCUGAAAAAUUACACUGCAUAUAUAAGAUUGAAAUUAUUUUAUGCAUAAAUAGUAGAUGUUGAAGGUAGGGAUAAGAUCUAUGUACACCCCAUCCUCCCCAGAUCCCACUUAUAUAAGGGCUGAGCUAGGGAGCGGAAGGGGUUUAUCCGAACCCCAUUGGCCGAAAAAUUACACCUUAUAUAAGGUCAAAAUUGAUUUUUAUGCAUAAAUAGUAUAUGUUGAAUCACAUUGGCAUGUUCGUGUGUUUACUUUUUAAUAUUCCGAAUCCCCUUGGUAAAAAUCUGGCUCCGCCACUAACUUGUGGGAUUAUACUGGAUAUGUUGUUGUUACUGUUGUUGUUCAUAUCAUGUUACAUGUUUUUAUUUCUUGCAAUAGUUUUAAUGUUUUUUUUUUGAGUUUUAAUAUGGAUAUAAUUUUGUUGUGGUGCCAGGAAGUUAUGCAAAGUUUGGGAAUAUAUAUUGUGUCAAUUGAUAGACCUGGUUAUGGAGAAAGUGAUCCUCAUCCCAAAAGAACACCAAAAACCUUAGCUCUUGAUAUAGAAGAGUUAGCUGAUCAAUUGGAAUUGGGAUCUAAAUUCUAUGUUAUGGGAUUUUCUAUGGGUGGACAAGCUGUUUGGGGCCUUCUUAAGUAUAUUCCUCACAGGUACUAAAGUCUUAAAACAAAUUCUUGUCAUUUAAAAUACACCGACAAUGUAAAGCGAUUUUUUUAUUAUCAGGUUAUUUUUAACUAUCGUUAACAGAUAACCUGCCUUAUUUUCAAGAUUACAGAUCUCGCUUUUUAUAGUGUUACUUGUAGGUAUCUUUUGGAUGUUCAUACUUUCGAUGUAUAUAAGUUAAACUCAAAUAACUACAUUGGCAUGCUAAAUCUGCAAAAAUUCCAAGGCGCGUAAGCUGUGUCUGCCUUAGGAAUUGCAGUUAUAUCUAGUCACUGGACUAAAAAUUUAUAUCAGUAAAGUCGCAAAACUGAAAGAUUGACAACCAAUCGACGCAGUUGAAAAAAAAAAGCUGCUGUUUCUUACUCCAGUUGAUAAUAUGGUUCAUCUGAAUACAUUCCAGCUUAACUAUGUGACUUUUGAAAUAUGUAACAGAUUGGCUGGAGCAAUUCUUCUUACUCCAGUGACUAACUACUGGUGGAAAAGCUUUCCUGCAAAUUUGACAAAACAAGCAUACUAUGAGCAGCUUGUACAAGAUCAAUGGACACUUCGGAUUGCUCACUAUCUCCCAUGGUUGACAUAUUGGUGGAACACUCAAAAGUUAUUUCCAUCUUCUAGUGUUGCAUCUUGCAGUGAAGAUAUUCUUUUCGAACAAGACCGAGUACUAAUGCCUAUCUUUGAUUCCUAUCAGAGUAAAUAUCGGGUGAGCACUUGUUUAGUCUCUUAGCAUAUCCUCAUUUCAUAACACACUAAUUUGAAUUUAAAUGGAGAACAUGGUUAGUGAGAAUUCAUAUGGCCGGCCCCAACAUGUUAAUUGGGACUGAGACGUAGUUGUUUUUGUUGUACUCAAGAAUCACUGACGGAUUCAACAAUGGGUUCGUUAGUGCUUCGCCUUUGAACCCUAUAUAUAUGCGUGAAAAAUAAGUAUAAAUAGAGUUAAAUAUACAUUGCAUAACUCGCUCUUUUAGCUCAAAACCAGCAGUUAUAAAUUUUAGAUCUGUCACUGCUCAAGAUUUUACCAUAAUAGACAAUCUGCAGAGAAAAAUAGGUUAGUUGUGAAAGUGGUCAUUGGCAAUUUGAUAUCAUUAGUCUAAAUAAUGUAAUAUUGGAUUAUCGUUACUAACUCUGCUUUUAUCUCGUUGUAUGGUAAUGUUUUAACAUAAAAAUCAUUGAGUUUUAUGUCCACUGACAGUGUAUAGUUUUUUCACAUCGAUGCGAAAAAUAGGCAACUCCUGAUAUCAAGUUCGAUAUUUGUCACCUAGAAGAUAGAGUGAUCACUUGCUACAGCCAGUAAAAUUACGCUGAUAGUGUAAAAAAUCCUGAGUUUUGUUACAUUUCUCAAUUAACCUUGGUAAUUUCCUUGAUGAGAUUAGGACCUGGUAAGACAACAAGGGGAGUAUGAAUCAAUCCACCGCGACCUAAUGAUAGGUUUCGGGACAUGGGAAUUCGACCCUAUGGAACUCGAAAACCCUUUCCCUAAUGGUGAAGGCUCUGUUCAUAUUUGGCAAGGUGAUGAAGAUGGUCAUGUACCUUACAUUCUACAACGUUACGUCGCACAGAAACUACCAUGGGUUCAUUAUCAUGAAAUGAAAGGCGGAGGUCAUAUGUUUCCAUGGGCUGAAGGAAUGGGAGAUAAAAUUAUGAAGACUUUCUUACUUGGAGAGCCCUUUGUUCUAUAAAACUAUACUAUGGGCUGGUUUAGUAUUGAACUCAGCGACUCUGUCGUUGAACAUUUGAAUAUUUAUUAACAAGUAUAUACCAAUUAAGUUGUCUAUGACAUAUAAAGUCAUGAAAACAUACUUGGAGAGCCCUUUGCUAUGUUGCUCGGACUCUCCAAAAAUAUCGCGUGCAUGUCGAAUCCUCCAAAAGUAGUGCAUUUUUGGAGGGUCCGACACAAAUGCGGCAAUAUUUUGGGAGUCGGUGCAACAUACACCCUUUGUUCUAUAAAGCUAUACUAUGGGGCUUGUUUAGUAUUGGAUUCAGACUCUUUGUUAUUGUACAAAUUUGAAUAUUUGUCAAUAUUAUCAAAUUAUUGUUGAGUUGCUUUAUUCAAGUAAUGAAUGGUUAUGUGCUAAAACUCUUAUUAUUGUUUCUGGUGCAGUAAUGAUAUAUGUUACUUUUGAUGUGAAGGUGACUCAUUUGCUAUAAAGCUAUAAUAUGGAGAAUUUACUUGUUUAGCUUCUUAGCAUAUCCUCAUUUCAUUACAUGUAAAUUUGAAGCUAUGUUGCUCGAACUCUCCGAAAAUGUUGCCGCGUGCAUAUCGAAUCCUCCAAAAGUAGUACAUUGUUGGAGGAUCCAGCACGGGUGCGGCAACAUUUUGGAGAGUCUGCACAACAUGGAUUUGAACUACUACUUCCAAAUCAAGAUUUAACCAUAAAAGACAAUUUGGACAGAAAAACAGGUUAAUGGCCAUUGACAUAAGAGAGGAUCACAGUUUGAUUAGCAUAUACUUAGAGCUACUGUUUCCUGCACAUUUUCUUGCCUAAUGCAUACUUGAGUCUGCUUGCAAUUUUCAAGGACUAAACCUCUGUAUUAUGUUCUGUGAUAUUACUCCAUUAACUUUGGUUAGUUUCCUGAUGAUGUUAGGACCUGGUAAGACAACAAGGGGAGUACGAGACGAUCCACCGGGAUAUAAUGAUAGGUUUCGGGACAUGGGAAUUCGAUCCAAUGGAACUCGAGAACCCUUUCCCAGACGGCGAAGGCUCUGUUCAUAUUUGGCAAGGUGAUGAAGAUGGUCAUGUACCUGUCAUUCUACAACGAUACGUCGCGCAGAAACUACCAUGGGUUCAUUAUCAUGAAAUGAAAGGUGGAGGUCAUAUGUUUCCAUGGGCUGAAGGAAUGGG
rnacentral:lncRNA from 1 species